rnacentral:rRNA from 1 species
GUGCCAGCAGCCGCGGUAAUACGUAGGGGCAAGGUCGUUAUCCGGAUUUACUGGGUGUAAAGGGAGCGUAGACGGGACAGCAAGUCUGAUGUGAAAGGCGGGGCUCAACCCCGAACUGCAUUGGAAACUGUUGACCUGGAGUGCUUCACACCGUUGCGGAACGCUCCCUACCAAUACAUGAUUAAAAUCAUUUAUUCCACAGCUUCGGUAGACUGCUUAGCCCGGUCGACGCGGCCG